GACGAACGCUGGCGGCGUGCCUAAUACAUGCAAGUAGAACGCACAGUUUAUACCGUAGCUUGCUACACCAUAGACUGUGAGUUGCGAACGGGUGAGUAACGCGUAGGUAACCUGCCUGGUAGCGGGGGAUAACUAUUGGAAACGAUAGCUAAUACCGCAUAAUAUUAAUUAUUGCAUGAUAAUUAAAUGAAAGGUGCAAUUGCACCACUACCAGAUGGACCUGCGUUGUAUUAGCUAGUAGGUGAGGUAACGGCUCACCUAGGCGACGAUACAUAGCCGACCUGAGAGGGUGGUCGGCCACACUGGGACUGAGACACGGCCCAGACUCCUACGGGAGGCAGCAGGAGGGAAUCUUCGGCAAUGGACGAAAGUCUGACCGAGCAACGCCGCGUGAGUGAAGAAGGUUUUCGGAUCGUAAAGCUCUGUUGUAAGAGAAGAACGGGUGUGAGAGUGGAAAGUUCACACUGUGACGGUAUCUUACCAGAAAGGGACGGCUAACUACGUG
rnacentral:rRNA from 1 species